rnacentral:rRNA from 1 species
GAUGAACGCUGGCGGCGUGCCUAAUACAUGCAAGUCGAGCGAACAGAUGAGGAGCUUGCUCCUCUGACGUUAGCGGCGGACGGGUGAGUAACACGUGGAUAACCUACCUAUAAGACUGGGAUAACUUCGGGAAACCGGAGCUAAUACCGGAUAAUAUAUUGAACCGCAUGGUUCAAUAGUGAAAGACGGUUUUGCUGUCACUUAUAGAUGGAUCCGCGCCGCAUUAGCUAGUUGGUAAGGUAACGGCUUACCAAGGCAACGAUGCGUAGCCGACCUGAGAGGGUGGUCGGCCACACUGGAACUGAGACACGGUCCAGACUCCUACGGGAGGCAGCAGUAGGGAAUCUGUCGCAAUAGGCGGAAGCCUGACGGAGCAACGCCGCGUGAGUGAUGAAGGUCUUCGGAUCGUAAAACUCUGUUAUUAGGGAAGAACAAAUGUGUAAGUAACUAUGCACGUCUUGACGGUACCUAAUCAGAAAGCCACGGCUAACUACGUG